UGGGGAAUUUUGGACAAUGGGCGAAAGCCUGAUCCAGCAAUGCCGCGUGUGUGAAGAAGGCCUUCGGGUUGUAAAGCACUUUUGUCCGGAAAGAAAUCCUUGGCUCUAAUACAGUCGGGGGAUGACGGUACCGGAAGAAUAAGCACCGGCUAACUACGUGCCAGCAGCCGCGGUAAUACGUAGGGUGCAAGCGUUAAUCGGAAUUACUGGGCGUAAAGCGUGCGCAGGCGGUUUGCUAAGACCGAUGUGAAAUCCCCGGGCUCAACCUGGGAACUGCAUUGGUGACUGGCAGGCUAGAGUAUGGCAGAGGGGGGUAGAAUUCCACGUGUAGCAGUGAAAUGCGUAGAGAUGUGGAGGAAUACCGAUGGCGAAGGCAGCCCCCUGGGCCAAUACUGACGCUCAUGCACGAAAGCGUGGGGAGCAAACAGGAUUAGAUACCCUGGUAGUCCACGCCCUAAACGAUGUCAACUAGUUGUUGGGGACUUCAUUUCCUUAGUAACGUAGCUAACGCGUGAAGUUGACCGCCUGGGGAGUACGGUCGCAAGAUUAAAACUUAAAUGGAAUUGACGGGGUCAUAGCU
rnacentral:rRNA from 1 species